rfam:Schistosoma mansoni strain Puerto Rico chromosome 7, complete genome
GCACUGCUGAAGAGUCCAAAACUAGGACGAAACGGCCAUCCAAUAC